ensembl:lncRNA
AUGUCUCCAUGUCCCCGUUCCCUGUGUAAGCUGCUUCCUCUCGUUGUCCGUCUCCACAGAGCUCUGCUGCCGAGCGACGGCCUCGGGGGCGGCGUCCCUUUGUUAAAUCAGCCGAGACGCAUUUCCAUCACAGAUUCUUGGGGGGUCAAAACGAAUGAGAAGACCCGGCUGUCCGCUGGUCACAGGACCACGUCCCUCCCGUCUGUCUGGGGCUCAACAGGAAGAGGACCACCGGCAACCCUCGCUGACCCUCAGGGGACUACCUGGAAGCCCCAGCCUUGGCAAACCGCUUAUCCCAAAAUCCUGCAGGACGGAGCCGUGGAAAGUUUUAGACCCCAGGAGGUCCAUGAGGAAGUCACCUACGCGGAGCCUCUGUCAACUCCCAUCGAGCAGGAGGCGGAAACAACAGCAGGCGACGCGGAAGGAGACGAGGAGUCCGGCCUCGGGACGCAGCCCCCCCUCGGUGAUACCACACCCAACAUUACACCGUACCCUGUCAGAAUGAGAGAGGAGUCCUGUGGUUUCUCAGACGAAUCCGAUGGUGAUCCGCCUGCGGAAAGACCCUCUGGAAAAGAAGAGGUUGAAGAGAUGCGAGCUGAAACGAGUGCGUGGCCACGAGAAGAGUUUACAGGCGGAGGAGGAGAGCCCGUGCAAGAGGAAACGUCAGAUGUUGAAACAGAGAUGGUGACUGAACCAAACUCUGAUUCCAGGACCAGCAGACCGGUGUCUGAACCUGAAGAGAGCUUCUGCCCAACUGAAAACAUCUGGAAGGACGAUGCCGCUGAGAUGAGGCAGCAGACGAGCUGUUCUAUGGAUAGAAACCAUGGGGCAGAGGUCGAGGAUAAGUUGUACCCCGAUGGGGAAGAGAUGGAUACGUGGGAUAGUGUAACGGAGGGGAAGGUUGAUCUGAAGACGGAAAAGAACACAACAAAUGAUGAAGAAAAAGGACAACACGCCGAACCAGAGGAAGACAUUUCAGCAAGAGACCAAAAGCAUGAAAAGACAGGAAUUGGGUCUGAUUUUGUUCGUCAAUACCACAAGGCCUCGUCAAAGACGCACACACAAGUGGACGGCGAACAGCGCUCGCUUCUCCCCGACAACCAACGGGACGACGACGAGGACGAUUCUGAAAAUGUCUCCGUGUCGUGGAGGACCGAGCUGGAGAGCGACAGCUACGCUCAGGAUAACACUCUCGCCGACACCACGCCUCUCAUUCGGUACGAGAGCGACGGGGCCGACGCCACCACGCAGGCGUCCCGCGUGGACGAGGGCGACUCCAGCGAGGGCGAACAGGAAAGGAAGCCUGGAGGGACGGCGAUGUGGAGCGAAGGCAAGUCGAAGACAUUUGGAACUAUGGAGGAUCUGUGCGAAGAGGUCGAAGGGGAGUCGCUGCACGAGGACUUUGAUCUGGGAUCUGCUCCCAUCGGGGGUCACGGGGAGACUCUGACUGGGCAUCCGACCCUGGUGAGUGCCGGAGAAACCGUCCCAAAAGUCAGCGAGGGGCGAUCGGAUGCAGAAGCUGAAGAACUUACCAAAUCCACGACAGCCACAGACAUGUGCAGCGACGAGGAGACGGACCGGCUUGUGGAACAGGAAUUAGAGAACAUCGCCACGGAGAAUUACAGGGCUCACUUUGCACAGCAGCAGGUCAGUGGGAGCGAGGAGAUGCUACAUCGGCAGGGCAGGUCCAUCGAGGAAAAGACCGAGCAGGAAGAGGCCGGAAUGCCUGGCUCUACUGACGCCAGCGUACAUCGGCAACCCGCCCCUUCCACUACGUUCACCGAUCCACCUUGUGAGAACCUGUAUUUGUGGGACUCGCUAGUGGGAAUCACUCUGCCGUGUGCGCCGGUGCAGGAGGAAGAUCGCAGCGUUCCCAUGGCGACACAUGCCGAUGCUACAGAAGAUCCCCCCAGCUUUACGGACCUCAUCAGCGGGCCCGAAGGAAUCCACCUCUCAGAGGAUCCAAAGCCUGGGUUGCAGGUCACAGCGGAUCCGGGACACCUGCAGGACGUGGCGGCACCAGCCAGAGUGAAAGAGGCUCAACCAGCGGAGGCAUCAAGUGUAUCUCAUGAACAUCGAGCUGAGGGUGUUACAGACCACCAGGAGUUCCAAGAAGCUCCAGAAGCAGCCGAAUGGGAAGUCCUGGAAGACUUCAGAUCUUCAGAUCAGAAAUCAGAGGGCCGAUUAUGAGAAAUGUUGAUGAUGAGUUCUCUGCACGCUGACGGGCGUUAAGAUACGACAGGAAAAGCUUGUCUUUGUAGCAAAGGACUCGGCUGAAAUAAUGAACACAAACGACAAAAACAGGCUCAGGCUCAACAAACGACCGCCGCCGCCCACCAGCCGGAUGACGCCCGCCACGGAGCCGCUGGGCAGACCGGUCCGAUCCGAGUGGCUGAGGACUCAUCUGAAGCCCUGAGCGCCCAGAAAGAGCAGGACCGGUCGGAGGUGAAGCUCGGGCUUGUUGGUUCUGAUGAGUCCCGACGUUGAGGGUCAAUCCCGGUCGUCUGGGGAGGAGCCGUAUGACCAUCCGUGGGAGGUUUGAUUGAUUGAUGCAAUUAGUUUCAGUCAGGAAGUGACGUGGUCCGAAUAACACCUUUACUAUGAAGCCAAAGUGGUGUCUUGAUGUGCAACUUGCUGACACAAACCAAAGUGCCAAUUCUACAAAGACACCUUUAAUCUGACAUCUUUGAUCAACAAUUUCUUCCUCCAUCCUAAUCGUUCAAACUCUUGCAUCCAUCAGAGAAUCGGGAAAGAAAGAAGGUCAUUUGAAAGUUAAAGCGUUAUUGAUUGAUGCCUAAUCUGAUUCCACUGGCUGAUGGAAAUCAAUGAGACCAGAAGGGACGAUUCUUCUUCCAGCAUCAGACUGACAGCUCGUGUUUCUGCAGGAGUCCUAUUGCACAAUACGUGACCCAGCUCUACAUGCACGCAAUCAAUGGUUGGAUGUAGAGAUGACACACGCCCGUCAAAAAGAGAAAAGUCACCUGCUUUCUUUGCAUUUUAUUGGUCUGUAUUCAGCUGAUUUUCACUUCCACCUGUAAUGUUUUUGCUGUGGUACAUUCAUAGUCCAUGAUAAACAGUAGAAUCCCUGUAUGCUUCCUCUAAUUUAUUCUAUUUGCUAGCACAGACGUAAUAAACACAUCUGUUUAUGGGGUCAUUCGGACUCUAAAAGCUCAUAAAAGUGAAGUGAAGUAAUAAUGGAUUUAUUACAGUGAACAAACUCUGUGGCCAACAAACGUUAAUGAAACUAACAUGACAACAAUAUUAUAACAAAACUCACAAAAGAAUACUUUUGGAGGAUUUCUAAAGCGUAUUAAUAAUAAUAACAACAUGAGCCCAGAAAAGAACAUUAGAAGAGCUCUGCAAACGUGCAAAAACUGCACUUAAUGCAGCCGUUAACGUUUCUGGUGAAUUGGUAUUAGCAUCGCGUUAGCAUCCCGUUAGCAUCAUGUUAUCGUCUCUUUAGCAAUCCAUUUGUUGGCAACUCAGUAAUGGCCUGAAUCCACACAUUGUGUGCGUGCGUGCGUGCGUGUGUGUGUGUAUGUGUGUUUGUAUGUGUGUGUGUGUGUGUGUGCGUGUGUGUGUGUGC